CCUACGGGGGGCAGCAGUAGGGAAUCUUCGGCAAUGGGCGAAAGCCUGACCGAGCAACGCCGCGUGAAUGAAGAAGGCCUUCGGGUUGUAAAAUUCUGUUAUAAGGGAAGAACGGUGAUAGGAGGAAAUGACUAUCAAUUGCCGGUACCUUAUGAGACAGCCCCGGCUAACUACGUGCCAGCCGCCGCGGUAAUCCGUAGGUGGCAAGCGUUAUCCGGACUUAUUUGGCGUAAAGAGCGCGCAGGUGGUUCAUUCAGUCUGAUGUGCAAGCCCCCGGCUUCACCGU
rnacentral:rRNA from 1 species